rnacentral:rRNA from 1 species
UACAGAGGGGGCAAGCGUUAUUCGGAAUUAUUGGGCGUAAAGGGCGCGUAGGCGGCCAUUCAAGUGACGGGUGAAAGCCCUCGGCUUAACCGAGGAACUGCCUGUCAGACUGGAUGGCUUGAGACCGGGAGAGGUGAGUGGAAUUCCCAGUGUAGCGGUGAAAUGCGUAGAUAUUGGGAGGAACACCAGUGGCGAAGGCGGCUCACUGGACCGGAACUGACGCUGAGGUGCGAAAGCGUGGGGAGCAAACAGG